rnacentral:rRNA from 1 species
CAAGUCGAACGAACUCUGGUAUUGAUUGGUGCUUGCAUCAUGAUUUACAUUUGAGUGAGUGGCGAACUGGUGAGUAACACGUGGGAAACCUGCCCAGAAGCGGGGGAUAACACCUGGAAACAGAUGCUAAUACCGCAUAACAACUUGGACCGCAUGGUCCGAGCUUGAAAGAUGGCUUCGGCUAUCACUUUUGGAUGGUCCCGCGGCGUAUUAGCUAGAUGGUGGGGUAACGGCUCACCAUGGCAAUGAUACGUAGCCGACCUGAGAGGGUAAUCGGCCACAUUGGGACUGAGACACGGCCCAAACUCCUACGGGAGGCAGCAGUAGGGAAUCUUCCACAAUGGACGAAAGUCUGAUGGAGCAACGCCGCGUGAGUGAAGAAGGGUUUCGGCUCGUAAAACUCUGUUGUUAAAGAAGAACAUAUCUGAGAGUAACUGUUCAGGUAUUGACGGUAUUUAACCAGAAAGCCACGGCUAACUACGUGCCAGCAGCCGCGGUAAUACGUAGGUGGCAAGCGUUGUCCGGAUUUAUUGGGCGUAAAGCGAGCGCAGGCGGUUUUUUAAGUCUGAUGUGAAAGCCUUCGGCUCAACCGAAGAAGUGCAUCGGAAACUGGGAAACUUGAGUGCAGAAGAGGACAGUGGAACUCCAUGUGUAGCGGUGAAAUGCGUAGAUAUAUGGAAGAACACCAGUGGCGAAGGCGGCUGUCUGGUCUGUAACUGACGCUGAGGCUCGAAAGUAUGGGUAGCAAACAGGAUUAGAUACCCUGGUAGUCCAUACCGUAAACGAUGAAUGCUAAGUGUUGGAGGGUUUCCGCCCUUCAGUGCUGCAGCUAACGCAUUAAGCAUUCCGCCUGGGGAGUACGGCCGCAAGGCUGAAACUCAAAGGAAUUGACGGGGGCCCGCACAAGCGGUGGAGCAUGUGGUUUAAUUCGAAGCUACGCGAAGAACCUUACCAGGUCUUGACAUACUAUGCAAAUCUAAGAGAUUAGACGUUCCCUUCGGGGACAUGGAUACAGGUGGUGCAUGGUUGUCGUCAGCUCGUGUCGUGAGAUGUUGGGUUAAGUCCCGCAACGAGCGCAACCCUUAUUAUCAGUUGCCAGCAUUAAGUUGGGCACUCUGGUGAGACUGCCGGUGACAAACCGGAGGAAGGUGGGGAUGACGUCAAAUCAUCAUGCCCCUUAUGACCUGGGCUACACACGUGCUACAAUGGAUGGUACAACGAGUUGCGAACUCGCGAGAGUAAGCUAAUCUCUUAAAGCCAUUCUCAGUUCGGAUUGUAGGCUGCAACUCGCCUACAUGAAGUCGGAAUCGCUAGUAAUCGCGGAUCAGCAUGCCGCGGUGAAUACGUUCCCGGGCCUUGUACACACCGCCCGUCACACCAUGAGAGUUUGUAACACCCAAAGUCGGUGGGGUAACCUUUUAGGAACCAGCCGCCU